rnacentral:rRNA from 1 species
UAACACGUGGGUAACCUGCCCAUCAGAGGGGGAUAACACUUGGAAACAGGUGCUAAUACCGCAUAAUAGUCGACACCGCAUGGUGUUGAUUUGAAAGACGCUUUCGGGUGUCACUGAUGGAUGGACCCGCGGUGCAUUAGCUAGUUGGUGAGGUAACGGCUCACCAAGGCGAUGAUGCAUAGCCGACCUGAGAGGGUGAUCGGCCACACUGGGACUGAGACACGGCCCAGACUCCUACGGGAGGCAGCAGUAGGGAAUCUUCGGCAAUGGACGAAAGUCUGACCGAGCAACGCCGCGUGAGUGAAGAAGGUUUUCGGAUCGUAAAACUCUGUUGUUAGAGAAGAAUAAGUAGGAGAGUAACUGCUCUUACCUUGACGGUAUCUAACCAGAAAGCCACGGCUAACUACGUGCCAGCAGCCGCGGUAAUACGUAGGUGGCAAGCGUUGUCCGGAUUUAUUGGGCGUAAAGCGAGCGCAGGCGGUUUCUUAAGUCUGAUGUGAAAGCCCCCGGCUCAACCGGGGAGGGUCAUUGGAAACUGGGAGACUUGAGUGCAGAAGAGGAGAGUGGAAUUCCAUGUGUAGCGGUGAAAUGCGUAGAUAUAUGGAGGAACACCAGUGGCGAAAGKGACUCUCUGGUCUGUAACUGACGCUGAGCUCGAAAGCGUGGGGAGCAAACAG